ACCUUGCCCAAAGUGUUCAAAGAAAAUCCGUUGAUUUGUUUCAAAAGGAAUAAAACAUUAAAGGACAUACUGGUACAUACAGAUCCGAUUAAAAGUUACAGUCAAGAAGCAGCAAUCCAGCAUCGUCGCAGUGUCCGUUGUUUAGGGUGCGUUACAUGUAGCCAAAUGACCCCAUCAAGAACUUUUUAACAUCCGCACAACAAUAAAGUGUUUAAAAUACAACACACAAUCAUGUGCAAAACAUCGUUUGCGGUAUACAAAUUAACAUGUCCAUGUGGGUUAUUAUAUAUCGGCAAAACCAAAACCCCACUAUGUGAGAGGAUACGUGGACAUAGGUCGGCUAUACGUGUGGCAUACCUAGAUGGACACUCAGAACAACCUGUGGCACAACAUUUUUUUAAACAUGAAACACC